AUGGACCAGCUGGUGAAUUUCAUCAUCCGCCCGCCCAGAGCUGACUACAGUCCAGACGAUGAUCUACUGGAGCAGGAGUUUAUGCUCAAGGGAAGAUGGUUUCAGAGGAAGGACCUGGAGGUAGUAAAUAGCCAGGGCAAGAAGUUGCAGUGUAGCCACUACAUACCUGCUGUGAUUCCUGAAGGAACAGCACUUCCUUGUGUUAUAUACUGUCAUGGAAACAGUGGAUGCAGAGCUGAUGCUAGUGAAGCCGCCAUUAUUCUUCUACCAUCAAAUAUUACAGUCUUUACACUGGACUUUUCAGGGUCUGGUCUCUCUGAAGGAGAGCAUGUCACCUUGGGCUGGAAUGAAAAAGAAGAUCUGAAAGCUGUUGUUAAUUAUUUGCGGACAGAUAGGAACAUAUCUUGCAUUGCUCUGUGGGGUCGCUCAAUGGGUGCGGUCACAAGUCUAAUGUAUGGAGCGGAGGAUCCAUCAAUUGCUGGAAUGGUUCUUGAUAGUCCAUUCUCAAACCUUGUUGACUUGAUGAUGGAACUAGUUGAUACCUACAAAUACCCCUUGCCAAAAUUCACGGUAAAACUUGCAAUACAGCACAUGCGGAAGAUUGUCAAGAAAAAAGCCGGCUUUGACAUCAUGGAUCUUGAUACCAUUCAGGUAGCAAAGCGAUGUUUUGUUCCUGCUUUGUUUGGACAUGCAACCGAGGAUGAUUUUAUACUCCCGCAUCAUUCAGACAAAAUUUGUGAAGCAUAUGUUGGAGACAAAAACAUUAUAAAAUUUGAUGGGGACCACAAUUCACCCCGACCACAAUUUUACUUUGACUCGAUCACAAUAUUUUUUCAUAAUGUGCUGAACCCACCUGAUGUCCCUGACGAUCAUUAUUUCCUGACACCACAUGGCAGCCUUGGUCAGGGUCACUGGGAUACAGAACAUGAUAUAGAGUAUAGAAUUGCUCAAUCACCAACAGCCCCUUCAACUACGACAGAAGAUGCCAUUGCACAGUUGCGUUCUAGAAGGCUCAUGAGCAGAAUGGAGGUCCCAUCUGGAACCGCCACAGAAGGCAGGGCCGACAGAACUGAGGUAUUGGAUAGUGGCCCCUUCUCAUCUAGUGCAUCUACUGCGACUCCUCCGAAUGGCCGUAAUGGAAGGAUGCUCACUCCAACCUCUGAUGAUGGCGAGUAUGUGGAGUAUUCAUUUGAUAGCGUAUCAGAUAUGCCUUACACUGAGGAAGAUGAAGAUAGAAUGCUGAUGCAAGCAAUUCUCGAGUCCCUGAAGGAUUUAGACAAGUCAAAUACAAAGAACACUCAAUCAGCUGUAUCUGAUGUUGCUUCCAAAGAAAAUAGUGUAGCACCUGAUGUAGUGGCAUUGGAGACAGAUGCAUCCUCCAUCUCUGUGCGUGGUGCUGAUGCUCCUGGUAAGGAUGUAGCAGCCUGUAACAGUGUAACAAAGACGUCUAGUGUGCAAAGUGCAGAUCGCUGCACUGUAAAUGAUGCUGUUUCUGCUAAUGUUUCUGGCGCAUCAGAAUCCAACGGCUCAACUCAGGUCAUCAAUGGAAAAUCUGGCUCGGCAGAAUCCCAGAAACCCAUCCAGAACCCCAAUGGAGAGGAUGGCACAAGAGCAACACUUGUAGUCCAGAAGAGCCGGACUGGCAGCCUGAUUGAUGGAUUGACACAAAAAUGGGGUUCCUUCUUCAAGAACAAUGACUGA
rnacentral:rRNA from 1 species